UACAGAGGUCCCAAGCGUUGUUCGGAUUCAUUGGGCGUAAAGGGUGCGUAGGCGGCGCGGUAAGUCGGGUGUGAAAUCUCGGGGCUUAACUCCGAAACUGCAUUCGAUACUGCCGUGCUUGAGGACUGUAGAGGAGAUCGGAAUUCACGGUGUAGCAGUGAAAUGCGUAGAUAUCGUGAGGAAGACCAGUUGCGAAGGCGGAUCUCUGGGCAGUUCCUGACACUGAGGCACGAAGGCCAGGGGAGCAAACGGG
rnacentral:rRNA from 1 species